CGAGGGAUUUUCGGCAAUGGGCGCAAGCCUGACCGAGCAACGCCGCGUGCGGGACGACGCCCUUCGGGGUGUAAACCGCUUUUCGGUGGGACGAUGAUGACGGUACCACCGGAAUAAGCCUCGGCUAACUACGUGCCAGCAGCCGCGGUAAGACGUAGGAGGCGAGCGUUGUCCGGAUUUACUGGGCGUAAAGCGCGCGCAGGCGGUCGCGCAGGUCAUCUGUGAAAGCCCCCGGCUCAACCGGGCGGAUGCGGGUGAAACCGCGCGACUUGAGGGUGGGAGAGGUCGGCGGAAUUCCCGGUGUAGUGGUGAAAUGCGUAGAUAUCGGGAGGAACACCCGUAGCGAAGGCGGCCGACUGGACCACACCUGACGCUGAGGCGCGAAGGCCAGGGGAGCGAACGG
rnacentral:rRNA from 1 species